UACGAAGGGGGCUAGCGUUGCUCGGAAUCACUGGGCGUAAAGCGCACGUAGGCGGCUUUUUAAGUCAGGGGUGAAAUCCUGGAGCUCAACUCCAGAACUGCCUUUGAUACUGAGAAGCUUGAGUCCGGGAGAGGUGAGUGGAACUGCGAGUGUAGAGGUGAAAUUCGUAGAUAUUCGCAAGAACACCAGUGGCGAAGGCGGCUCACUGGCCCGAUACUGACGCUGAUGCACGAAAGCGUGGGGAGCAAAAGGG
rnacentral:rRNA from 1 species